GUUACCGUGCCAGCAGCCGCGGUAAUACGGAAGUCCGGGCGUUAUCCGGAUUUAUGGGUUUAAAGGAGCGUAGGCCGGGGAUUAAGUGUGUUGUGAAAUGUAGGCGCCCAACGUCUGACUUGCAGCGCAUACUGGUUCCCUUGAGUACGCGCAACGCCGGCGGAAUUCGUCGUGUAGCGGUGAAAUGCUUAGAUAUGACGAAGAACCCCGAUUGCGAAGGCAGCCGGCGGGAGCGCAACUGACGCUGAAGCUCGAAGGUGCGGGUAUCGAACAGGAUUAGAUACCCUGGUAGUCCGCACGGUAAACGAUGGAUGCCCGCUGUCGGCGCCUUGCGCCGGCGGCCAAGCGAAAGCGUUAAGCAUCCCACCUGGGGAGUACGCCGGCAACGGUGAAACUCAAAGGAAUUGACGGGGGCCCGCACAAGCGGAGGAACAUGUGGUUUAAUUCGAUGAUACGCGAGGAACCUUACCCGGGCUUGAAUCGCAGGAGAACGAUACAGAGAUGUUGAGGUCCUUCGGGACUCCUGCGAAGGUGCUGCAGUCGACGCGGCCG
rnacentral:rRNA from 1 species